rnacentral:lncRNA from 1 species
AAAUAUUUAAGAUUAAGAUUUUAGGAUUUUAGAUCUCACUAGUAUGACCCAUUCAUGUCUCCUAAGACCAUUAUCCUAAUUUUUGAGAUUUAUCAUAAUCUUAGAUAUAAUAAGAUGCAGCUAAAAUGAUGAAUCAAUACCUCAUUUUAUUAUCAAAUAAUAAAUAUCAUUACAUGAGUUAAAAAAUUACAAAGAAAAGUUCCAUCGCAACACAUUUGCGAUUGGCUUAUAGGAUACUCUUCUUUCAAUCUCCCACUUGUACUAAAGCCAAUCACCUUUGUAUUUAAAUCCCAUAUAAUCAAGAUGGCGAUCAAAUAGCUACUGUGGUAUGGUCUUAGUGAAUGGAUUUGCUAUAUUAUUCUUUGUGUC